UACAGAGGUCCCAAGCGUUGUUCGGAUUCACUGGGCGUAAAGGGUGCGUAGGUGGUGGGUAAGUCUGAUGUGAAAUCUCCGAGCUUAACUCGGAAAUGGCAUUGGGAUACUAUUCGGCUAGAGGGUUGAGGGGGACUGGAAUACUUGGUGUAGCAGGUGAAAUGCGUAGAUAUCAAGUGGAACACCAGUGGCGAAGGCGAGUCCCUGGAAAACUCCGACACUGAGG
rnacentral:rRNA from 1 species